AUGCAUAUGAUGUAAAUAUUCCUGGCUGAAUGAUUUUGAUGCAUUCAAAGGAACCACUGAUGCAU